rnacentral:rRNA from 1 species
UUCGCAAUGCCCGAAAGGGUGACGAUGCGACGCCGCGUGAGCGAAGAAGGCCCUAGGGUUGUAAAGCUCUGUCGAGGGUUAUGAAAUAUAGAUGGGUUAAUACCCCAUUUAUUUGGCAAAAGCCCAAAAGGAAGCCACGGCUAACUCUGUGCCAGCAGCCGCGGUAAUACAGAGGUGGCGAGCGUUGUUCGGUAUUAUUGGGCGUAAAGAGCACGUAGGUGGUUUUGUAAGUCAGGUGUGAAAGCCUUCCGUUCAAAGGAAGAACGGCAUCUGAAACUGCAGAUCUUGAGUGUAGGAGGGGAGAGUGGAACUUCUGGUGGAGCGGUGAAAUGCGUAGAUAUCAGAAGGAACGUCGGCGGCGAAAGCGACUCUCUGGCCUAUUACUGACACUGAGGUGCGAAAGUUAGGGGAGCAAACGGGAUUAGAUACCCCGGUAGUCCUAACCGUAAACGAUGGGCACUAAGUAGAGGGGUUUU